CCCGAACAGCUAGCCCACCCAGUAAAUAUCAACAAACAACAUUAAUUAACCCCCAAAAUCCGAACAGAACCUACUAAAACAUUUUACCCCCUGAGUAUGGGAGACAGAAAAGGACGUUAGGCGCUAUAGAAACAGUACCGCAAGGGAAAGCUGAAAGAGAAAUGAAAAAACCCAGUGAAGGACAUAAAAGCAGAGACAAGGCCUCGUACCUUUUGCAUCAUGAUUUAGCCAGAAAUUAUCAAGCAAAGCGCCCUAUAGUUUGAACCCCCGAAACUGAGCGAGCUACUCCAGGACAGCCUAUUGCAGGGCAAACCCGUCUCUGUGGCAAAAGAGUGGGAAGAUCUUCGAGUAGAGGUGACAGACCUACCGAGCACAGUUAUAGCUGGUUACUCACAAAAUGAAUAGAAGUUCAGCCUUUAGAAUUUUUUACACCAAAAAGGUUAUGUACCAGCAGUGAUGAAAAGAAAAACUAAAGAGUUAUUCAAGGGGGGAACAGCCCCCUUGAAAAAAGAUACAACUUUAAUGGAAGGCUAAAGAUCAUAAUUUAUAAGGCAAAAUACCCAGGUGGGCCUAAAAGCAGCCACCCCCUAGAAAGCGUUAAAGCUCAAGUACCUGCCUAUCCUUAAUACCGACCACCAGUCUUAUGCCCCCACACAUAGUGAGUCUUUCCAUGCACCCAUGGAAGCGAUACUGCUAAAAUGAGUAAUAAGAGGGCCGCCCCUCUCCUGUCACCUGUAUAACUCAGAACGAACUCGCACUGAAAAUUAACGCCCCCAAAUAAAGAGGGUAAUGAGAAAAUUAGUAUAAGCAGGAAAACCUCUCACAUAUACAGCGUUGACCCUACACAGGUGUGUUCAAGGAAAGACUAAAAGAAAAAGAAGGAACUCGGCAAACAACGGCCUCGCCUGUUUACCAAAAACAUCGCCUCUUGCAACAAUAACCGUAUAAGAGGUCCUGCCUGCCCUGUGACAUUUAAGUUUAACGGCCGCGGUAUCCUGACCGUGCGAAGGUAGCGUAAUCACUUGUCUUUUAAAUGAAGACCUGUAUGAAUGGCAAGACGAGGGCUUAGCUGUCUCCUUUUUCCAGUCAAUGAAAUUGAUCUCCCCGUGCAGAAGCGGGGAUACCAACAUAAGACGAGAAGACCCCAUGGAGCUUAAGACACAGAGCAGCUCAUACUACAAUACCUAGAUUAACAGAAAUAAGUUUAUGACACCUGCUCACAUGUCUUUGGUUGGGGCGACCGCGGGGAAACAACCAACCCCCAUGUGGAACAGGAGUACUACUCCUUAAAGCCAGAGCCACAGCUCUAACAAGCAGAAAAUCUGACCUUCGAGAUCCGGCAAAGCCGAUCAACGGACCAAGUUACCCUGGGGAUAACAGCGCAAUCCUCUUUUAGAGCCCAUAUCGACAAGAGGGUUUACGACCUCGAUGUUGGAUCAGGACAUCCUAAUGGUGCAGCCGCUAUUAAGGGUUCGUUUGUUCAACGAUUAAAGUCCUACGUGAUCUGAGUUCAGACCGGAGAAAUCCAGGUCAGUUUCUAUCUAUGACUGCUCUUUUCUAGUACGAAAGGACCGAAAAGAGGGGGCCCAUGCAACCAGUAAGCCCCUUCCUGCACUAAUGAAGCCAACUUAAUUAGGCAAAGGACAUAUUAUUACUUCCUAAGAAAAAGGAAC
rnacentral:rRNA from 1 species